GACGAACGCUGGCGGCGUGCUUAACACAUGCAAGUCGAACGGAAAGGCCCUGCUUUUGUGGGGUGCUCGAGUGGCGAACGGGUGAGUAACACGUGAGUAACCUGCCCUUGACUGUGGGAUAACUUCAGGAAACUGGGGCUAAUACCGGAUAGGAGCUUCUGCUGCAUGGGGGUGGUUGGAAAGUUUCGGCGGUUGGGGAUGGACUCGCGGCUUAUCAGCUUGUUGGUGGGGUAGGGGAGUACCAAGGCUUUGACGGGUAGCCGGCAUGAGAGGGUGACCGGCCACAUUGGGACUGAGAUACGGCCCAGACUCCUACGGGAGGCAGCAGUGGGGAAUCUUGCACAAUGGGCGGAAGCCUGAUGCAGCAACGCCGCGUGCGGGAUGACGGCCUUCGGGUUGUAAACCGCUUUCGCCUGUGCCGAAGCGUGAGUGACGGUAAUGGGUCAAGAAGCAACGGCUAACUACGUG
rnacentral:rRNA from 1 species